CCCUUAGAUGUUCUGGGCCGCACGCGCGCUACACUGAUGCAUUCAACGAGUCUAAAACCUGCUCUGAUAGGGGUGGGUAAUCUUUUGAAUGUGCAUCGUGAUUGGGAUAGAUGAUUGCAAUUUUUCAUCUUCAACGAGGAAUGCCUAGUAAACGCAAGUCAUCAGCUUGCAUUGAUUACGUCCCUGCCCUUUGUACACACCGCCCGUCGCUCCUACCGAUUGAAUGAUCCGAUGAAUAUCAUGGAUUGAGGAUGUAAGCAGGUUCGCCUGUCUUCAUCUUCGAGAAGUGAAGUAAAUCUUAUCAUUUAGAGGAAGGGGAAGUCGUAACA
rnacentral:rRNA from 1 species